ACCGCCGUCGGGCCAGCAUCGCGUGGGCGCGCCGGACAAAGGCGCGGGGAAUGUGGNCCCCCUCUGGGGGGGUGUUAUAGCCCCGCGUGCGAUGCGGCGCCGCCCGCGCGAGGUCCGCGCUUCGGCUAGGAUGCUGGCGUAAUGGUCGCAUGCGGCCCGUCUUGAAACACGGACCAAGGAGUCUAACAUCUGUGCGAGUGUUCGGGUGUCAAACCCCUACGCGGAAUGAAAGUGAACGNAGGUGGGAGCUUCGGCGCACCAUCGACCGAUCCUGAUGUCCUCGGAUGGAUUUGAGUAAGAGCAUAGCUGUUGGGACCCGAAAGAUGGUGAACUAUGCCUGAAUAGGGUGAAGCCAGAGGAAACUCU
rnacentral:rRNA from 1 species